UUGACCUGGCGGGAGGGUCAUUG
rnacentral:rRNA from 1 species